GUUGGGCAAGUUUUCCCAGAUAAGAAGUCUGCUUACCAGGCAAUGGGUAGCUAUGCAAUCGGCAUCCACCGCCAGCAUAGAGUGAAGCAGUCUGAUAAAAAAGAGUUGAAGGUCAUAUGCAUCCACACCGCGAAAGGUUGCCGCGGAAGAGUUCUCGCUAGUCUGAAGCCUGGGGUAUGUCAGUCAUGGCAUAUCACAAAAAUAGUGGAGCAUACCUGUGAGCAAACUGGGACUCUUUCAGAUCACUGCAAUGUGACAGCAAAAUUUGUGGCACAGACGAUGGAAACAAUUGUGCAGGGAAGUCUCAACAUUAGUGUUAGGGCUCUGCAAAAAGAUGCAGAGGAUCUAAUUGGAUUCCCUGUUAGCUACAGCAAGGCUAGGCAUGCGAAGGAAAAUAUAUUUAAGAACUUGUAUGGUACCUAUGAGGAGGCAUAUUCUUAUGCCCCUAGAAUGCUUCAUCAAAUAGCAAGUGCUAAUAGGGGGACUCAAGUUUGGCGGAGAGAACGUCCAAACCCAAUGAACCCGCGUGAGCUAAUCCUGGACCGCUUAUUCUGGGCAUUCGCCCAGACUAUACAAGCCUUCAGGCACUGUCGCCCGGUAUUAUCUGUUGAUGGUACCUUUCUCACUGGAAAGUACAAGGGCACACUAUUGGUGGCGAUUGCAGCGGAUGCAAAUAAUCAGCUUCUUCCUAUUGCAUAUGCAUUGGUCGAGAGCGAGAACAAAGAUAGCUGGUUGUGGUUCCUGAGCUGCGUGAAGAUGGGUGUCGUGAAAGAGCGUAAAGGUGUUUGCAUCAUUUCUGAUCGCAACACUGGAUUAUUAAGCGCUCUUGAAAUAAUUAAGGCGUCGGAAGAAGAGUGGGGCUGGCCCGAUCUA
rnacentral:rRNA from 1 species